UGGUGGAGUGAUUUGUCUGGUUAAUUCCGUUAACGAACGAGACCUCGACCUGCUAAAUAGUUCGGAGAAUUCUUCGGGAUUCUUACGUGACUUCUUAGAGGGACUAUCGGUGUGUAGCCGAUGGAAGUUCGAGGCAAUAACA
rnacentral:rRNA from 1 species